UGGGGAAUAUUGCACAAUGGGCGCAAGCCUGAUGCAGCCAUGCCGCGUGUGUGAAGAAGGCCUUCGGGUUGUAAAGCACUUUCAGCGAGGAGGAAGGUGGUGAGCUUAAUACGCUCAUCAAUUGACGUUACUCGCAGAAGAAGCACCGGCUAACUCCGUGCCAGCAGCCGCGGUAAUACGGAGGGUGCAAGCGUUAAUCGGAAUUACUGGGCGUAAAGCGCACGCAGGCGGUUUGUUAAGUCAGAUGUGAAAUCCCCGGGCUCAACCUGGGAACUGCAUUUGAAACUGGCAAGCUAGAGUCUCGUAGAGGGGGGUAGAAUUCCAGGUGUAGCGGUGAAAUGCGUAGAGAUCUGGAGGAAUACCGGUGGCGAAGGCGGCCCCCCUGGACGAAGACUGACGCUCAGGUGCGAAAGCGUGGGGCAGCAAACAGGAUUAGAUACCCUGGUAGUCCACGCUGUAAACGAUGUCGAUUUGGAGGUUGUGCCCUUGAGGCGUGGCUUCCGGAGCUAACGCGUUAAUCGACCGCCUGGGGAGUACGGCCGCAAGGUUAAAACUCAAAUGAAUUG
rnacentral:rRNA from 1 species